rnacentral:rRNA from 1 species
UACGUAGGGGGCAAGCGUUGUCCGGAAUUAUUGGGCGUAAAGAGCGCGUAGGCGGUCCGAUAAGUCGGCUGUGAAAGUCAGGGGCUCAACCCUUGAAAGCCGGCCGAUACUGUCGGACUAGAGUCCGGAAGAGGCAAGUGGAAUUCCCGGUGUAGCGGUGAAAUGCGCAGAUAUCGGGAGGAACACCAGCGGCGAAGGCGGCGCUCUGGGCCGGAACUGACGCUGAGGAGCGAAAGCGUGGGUAGCAAACAGG